rnacentral:lncRNA from 1 species
ACACUUAUUUUAGACCAAAAUAAAAAGGCCAAAAGAUCACUUAUUAUGCUCCGAGGGAGUACGUAUUGAAAUAGAUAGUGUAGCUUACAGUUGGAAUGGCAGUUGCAACUGAUGCAACAACUGCUGCUUUUGCUCCUGCAACUACUCCUUCUGUAUAUACAAACAUGAUAUUUAAAACAUUCAUUAGAUGAUCAAAUUAAUGGAAAAUUCAAGGUGGUACAAGCAAAGAAAGACAAAGUACCAUGAGAGCAACGCUUAGCCAUGGCUAGUUUUUGGUCCACUGAAGCUAAACUCACAUUCUUUGCCAUUUUAGUUUGUAUUUG